rnacentral:lncRNA from 1 species
UGACAGCGGGCCCGUGGGAAUGUCCUGGCUGACCUCUUUCUUCCAAGCCCAGGCAGAUUCCAGAGCCUCACAAUCAAGGACAAAUUCCUGAAUGCAACAUUUGCUUUUCCGUCUUCCCGCUUCACCUCACUCAUCCCUGCAGAAGUACAAGUAUUCCUGGCUUCUUCAAGUCUACGCCUAAGAAUUAAGAGCCUUGGGGAGAAGGGCACUGCAUCGACCACUGCAUCUCAAUCAUUGUGGCAGACGUACCACAGCACUGGGAAGCUGGCCUUGGCAAGAAUCUCAGGCUAUUACUACAGAGUUGGGAAGAAGGUUUAGGAUCAAGAUAGAGGUGACUGACCAAGCAGAAAUGGAGUAAGACAUCUGACAUCCUGGCCCCAAUAUCUUUCUCAUCAUUCCAGUCUGCUCUGAGAAACUCUCUCUCCUAGUCUGGUGGUACAAACUCCUGGGAUCCAAGCACGCUGUGUCAUGCUGCUGUACUGUUCAGUACAGAAGCCACUAACCACGUGUGCCUACCAGGCAGUUGAGAUGUGGCUGGUUCAAACUGAGAUAUACUAUAAAUAUAAAAUACCACAGGAUUUUGAAGACUUACGGAAAAAAA